rnacentral:lncRNA from 10 species
CAAAAGAGGAGUGAGAGGGACUUUUUGCCAUUUCUGCCAUGUGAGGAUGCAGCAAGAAGAUACCAUCUCUGAGAAAGAGGUCCUUACCAGACAACGAAUCUGCUGCUGCUUUGAUGUUGGGCUUCCCAAACUCCACAACUGUUGUGUCCACUGAGGAAUGAUGAGGUUCAAAAACUUGGAGAGGAGAGCUUUAUUUCUCAAAAAUGAUUGCAGCCUGCAAGGUGGCCAUUCUGACAGGCUAGGAAAGAAAUAGCUGCUUUUUCCAGUCCUUAUAGACUGACUCAGACAGAGGGAGACCUUCAUCAGUCAGCCUUGGGAGAGAUUCUGGGAGCUUCUCAAACCCUUCCAUGGAUGUGUAUUUUCUGAACGAAUGCAUAGGGAAAUUCCUCGGACUGGAAUUUAUGCCAUCACUCUGAUUGAAUUACACCACCAGCUUUCCUGGGCCUACAGGUUGCAAAUAGCAGAUCAUGGGACAUCUCAGCCUCCAUAAUCAUGAGUGGGAAGAAAAAAAAAAUUGCUCUCCUUGCUGGGUCGGAUCUUGGGCAGAUAAAGGAACUUCAACUUCUUUGGAAGAGAUGGUGGCAGCGAAGAGGUCAGAGAGACCUUGAGGCUUUGUCUUCAGUUGAGCAUGUCAAGACACCAUAUUUUGGGGCAUCAGUUUUUGAGUCCCAAGAUGGGAGUUAGGAAUUGUGUUCUACAUUGAGGAUAGAGAAAAAUGUAAUAAAAUUUAAGAAGUACCUACAUAUAUAAGCUAUAAUUUUAUUAAUGCAUUGUCAAUAUUGACAUUUUC